UACGAAGGGGGCUAGCGUUGCUCGGAAUUACUGGGCGUAAAGCGCACGUAGGCGGCUUUCUAAGUCGGGGGUGAAAUCCUGGAGCUCAACUCCAGAACUGCCUUCGAUACUGGAGAGCUUGAGUCCGGGAGAGGUGAGUGGAACUGCGAGUGUAGAGGUGAAAUUCGUAGAUAUUCGCAAGAACACCAGUGGCGAAGGCGGGUCUCUGGGCCGAUACUGACGCUGAGGAGCGAAAGCGUGGGGAGCGAACAGG
rnacentral:rRNA from 1 species